CCUCCCCCCUCCCUUUCUCCAACUUCCCCGCCUCCUGCUUCCUCCCCCCUCUCCCUCCCCACCCUCCCACCCCCACUCCAACCCCCAGGGCUGCGGGCGGCUCCCGGGUUUCGCUGGAGCACACGCAUUUGCGCAGAAUGUGGUUCCCAGGCUCUCGGUCAAGAACUGGGAUGGGAAAAGUUGGCUGGCGGCUCCCGCUGCCCGGCCCCCCUCGAGCCCGGCCCGUCCGCGUCCGGAAAGCGCGGCGCUCGCAGAAGGGCGAGGGGGCUGCGCUCUCCGCUUUUCUUCUCACUUUCACCGUGAUCGUACCCUUGACGUUGAGCACCCGUUAGCGCAGCGGGACUUAACUGUUUUAGGGAAGAAAACGAGGGCGGAAAGGGGGACUGAGAGGGAGAGAGGCGAGGGGGAGGCGAAGGAACAGGGGUGCGAGUUGGCGCGGGCGGCCUGGGGAUGGAGGAGCCUUUGGGCUGAAUUGCCUGUUUGAUCUCGUCCGCGCUGCGCAGGGGUAGGCCGCUGGAAAGACUCGGUGGCCUGGACAACAGGGUCCGAGGGGAAGAAGGUGUAUUUCUGUUGCUGGACAUGAUGGCCACACAAUCUUGCUUCCCACUUUCCUGUCUACAGGCUCAGUAGAUCCAGAUCGUGUGAGUCUCUUUUAUUCCCGUUUUGCACGUGAGGCCACGGAGGCCGGGAUAGACCAGGAUCGCACACGUCUUGGGGGCCUACUCCGGACUCAAACCUACGUCUCUGUGACUCCAAAACUCAUAUUAUACUAUGACCUAGUAUUUGCUGGUGUAAGACGAAUGGUUCCGCUUUAGCGCAGAUGCAAGCGCCACCUUAUUUGGAGGACAGGCAGGUAGAUCUGCAGCUGUAAAACCCGAGGCCCCGAGGCGGGCUUGCACAGCUCCCCUGGCUCUCCGUCCACGUCCACGUCUCUGCUGUCCGCUGCUCCUAGAGCACCUUUCGACUCUUGAAAACAGGAACUGCCAGUUAAAAAGAAUACUACCUAUUUUAUUGAGCCUGAAGGGUUGAGGACAUCACAGACCAGAGGACAAGGCCCGGAGGGAUGGGACUUUGUCUGCUGCCCUCUCACAUCCCGACUGGUACACCUCAGUGAACAAUUUGUAAUGGACACAGUGAAUACAGCAAGGCCCUACUGCAAACCCGAGGACGCAAAGCCUCUGAGAACCUCUCAGACACGGAAGGGGCCACGAGGCUUUUCCCACGUGGCCAGGCUGGAGCAAUGAGUGGGUGCCGGGGAGAGAGCUUCAGGAAUCUCAGGCUCUGGGUAAAGAACUCUUUCCCGGGAUUCCCGCUGUGGCACGACAGGUCUGGUGGCAUCUCUGGAGCAGGGUUGAUCCCUGGCCUGACACAGUGGGUUAAGGAUUCCUCAUUGCCGCAGCUGUGGUGUAGGUUGCAACUGGGAUCUGAUCCCUGGCCCAGGAACUCCGUAUGUUGCAGGGCAGCAAAAAUAAAUAAAUAAAUAAAUACACGAAAAGGAACUUUCCCAAGAGUUGGAACGGGUGGGGCUCUGUGCCUGUUUCCUGGGGGCUGAGGAGGCCACCUGGCAGGGAUAUUGUUCGGAAGUUGAAUUUGCCCGUAUCAAAGACUUUUCUUCCAUUUCAAAGUUUUGUGAGAUGGUCACAGGUCAGCCCACCUCUGUCUCGUGAAAACCAUUCUGAGUUUAGUCUUCUGGAAUAGUUUUCAUAUGUGAACACAUCUCCAGUGUCUUGCCUGUGAUCAUGAGGCUCGAUUUGUAGAAACGAUGCCUGUUUUCUGAAACAUGGAAGGGAAUAUAUUUGAUUCAGAGGAGAAAGGCUUUGAUUUCAUGGGAAAUGUGUGUCCUUUUCCGAGAACCUCCUAAGAAUGAGCCCAGUGUCCUUCGUGUUUCUCCUUCCCCUGUCCGAGGUGCUUACCACCCUUAUAAAUAAUCAUAAAUGUUGCUUCCGGAGGCUCUUUCUAGAUAAGACAUGGCGUCUCUCCCAAGGAGAAUGAUGUUAGCACUCAACGGCUGAGAAAGGAAGUGAAUUAUCCCUUUGAAACUACCAGGGCACUUGAGGUGGUCAGGAAUUAUCCUGGUAUAGACAGACAGACAGACAAAAAGGUAAACAAGACUCUGGUAUGUUUUUUGUUUUUGGGUUUUUUUUUUUUUUUUUUUUUUUUUUGGCUGCACCCACAGCUUGUGGAAAUUCCUGAGUCAAGGAUCAAACCUGUGCCACAGCAGCGACCUGAGUCAUUGCAGUGACAACACCUGAUUCUUGACUGGCUGCACCACAUGGGAACUCCUCUGGGUAUAUGCUUUUUUUUUUUUUUUUUUUUUGUCUUUUUGCUAUUUCUUGGGCCGCUCCUGUGGCAUAGGGAGGUUCCCAGGCUAGGGGUCCAAUUGGAGCUGUAGCUGCCAGCCUACGCCAGAGCCACAGCAACGCAGGAUCCAAGCCGCGUCUGUGACCUACACCACAGCUCACGGCAACGCCAGAUCCUUGACCCCCUGAGCAAGGGCAGGGACCAAACCCGCAACCUCAUGGUUCCUAGUCGGAUUCAUUAACCAUUGCGCCACGACGGGAACUCCUUUUUUUGUCUUUUUGACUUUUCUAGGGCCACACCCAUCGCAUAUGGAGGUUCCCAGGCUAGGGGUCCAAUUGGAGCUGUAGCCUCCAGUCUAUGCCACAGCCACAGCAACUCAGGAUCCGAGCCACGUCUUCGGCCUACACCACAGCUCACGCAAUGCCGGAUCCUCAACCCACCGAGCGAGGCCAGGGAUUGAACCCGCAUCCUCAUGGAUUCCAGUCAGACUCGUUAACCACUGAGCCACGACGGCAACUCCUGGUGUAUGCUUUUUUAAUGAGGCAAGGCUUUCCUUUUACUAAAUAGCACUAACUGUUGAGUGUUUACACAGAGCUCAGGGAACAUGGAACAUAGAGGUCUGUGUAUUUUUAUAAAUUAAAACAAACAAAAAUACCU
rnacentral:lncRNA from 1 species